AUACAUGCAAGUAGAACGCACAGGAUGCACCGUAGUUUACUACACCGUAUUCUGUGAGUUGCGAACGGGUGAGUAACGCGUAGGUAACCUGCCUGGUAGCGGGGGAUAACUAUUGGAAACGAUAGCUAAUACCGCAUAAGAACAUUUACUGCAUGGUAGAUGUUUAAAAGGUGCAAAUGCAUCACUACCAGAUGGACCUGCGUUGUAUUAGCUAGUAGGUGAGGUAACGGCUCACCUAGGCGACGAUACAUAGCCGACCUGAGAGGGUGAUCGGCCACACUGGGACUGAGACACGGCCCAGACUCCUACGGGAGGCAGCAGUAGGGAAUCUUCGGCAAUGGGGGGAACCCUGACCGAGCAACGCCGCGUGAGUGAAGAAGGUUUUCGGAUCGUAAAGCUCUGUUGUUAAGGAAGAACGAGUGUGAGAAUGGAAAGUUCAUACUGUGACGGUACUUAACCAGAAAGGGACGGCUAACUACGUGCCAGCAGCCGCGGUAAUACGUAGGUCCCGAGCGUUGUCCGGAUUUAUUGGGCGUAAAGCGAGCGCAGGCGGUUAGAUAAGUCUGAAGUUAAAGGCAGUGGCUCAACCAUUGUAGGCUUUGGAAACUGUUUAACUUGAGUGCAGAAGGGGAGAGUGGAAUUCCAUGUGUAGCGGUGAAAUGCGUAGAUAUAUGGAGGAACACCGGUGGCGAAAGCGGCUCUCUGGUCUGUAACUGACGCUGAGGCUCGAAAGCGUGGGGAGCGAACAGGAUUAGAUACCCUGGUAGUC
rnacentral:rRNA from 1 species